rnacentral:tRNA from 1 species
GCCCGAGUAGCUCAGUCGGUAGAGCGUUAGGCUUUUAUCCUAACGGUUCAGUGUUCGAGCACCUGCUUGGGCG